rnacentral:lncRNA from 1 species
AGGAGGGGUCAAAAUCCCGAGCGGCAGCUAAUCCCCAUCGGGCCUGGCUACAUCUCAUCUCUCUCCCUCUCCCCUUCUUCUCCAUCACCGGCCGCCGCCACAGCCAGGCCGGCGUGGUGGUGAGCCAUUCACACAGCGCCACCAUCUCCUUCUCCUCCCCGAAGCCAUCCAUCUCCACCGUCCGCGCCCAGCGCCAACCAGCACCGCCUCCAUCCAUCACCCAGCACCACCACUACUCCUCCUACCUCCAGUGCCUACAUCCACCACACCAGCCGCUCCCUCACGCGCUGCAUCAGACACUCCGGCGCGAGUGUCUGGUCACCCGCGUGAGUGCGCCACCCAACUCCUUCGCCUCGGAUCCAUCUCGCAGACCACCAGUGUGCCACCACCAUCGCCAACUCCCUCUUCCUUCUUCUGCUCUCUGCCUGCUGCUGCUUCUUCUUCCCACGCCCCUGCUGCUGCUUGCUCUCUCAAUCUCUGCUACUACUUCUCCAUCUCUUGCUGCUACUUCUUCUUCUCUGAACCUCAUUUCUUCUCCUUGCAUCCCCUUGUUGCUGCUCCAUUCCCAAACUGCUGCUACCUAUUCUUCUUCUUGUCUGAACCUCUGUCCUUCCCCUCGUUGCUGCUCCUCACUUGCGCCAGCUGCUCCUGUUCCCUACGCCUCUGCUACUGGUUCUUGCUUCUCUUCUGAACCUGAAGCUCUCUCUCUCUCUCUUAUCUCAAACUGUUGUAAACUUUAGAAGUGUAAUGUUCAGAAUUUUGUAAUUUUCAGGGUUGUGUAAUGUUCAGACUUGACAAGUUCUAGCAACUCGUUAUUUGUUCAGUUUAGUACCUGUAUAAUAAAGUACUUGUUAUGUUGGACCUGACUAGUUGAGGCCUUGUUAAUUUGGGUGAUAAUUGAUCUAUUAGAAUGUGCUUCUGUGUAUUACUAUUCUGCUAGUAUAUGUGCGUGUUCACCUUGUGUACUAAUCCCCUUUCCUAGUUAUCUUCCAGUACUUGUCAACUUUGUGUGUGUUUGAUUUUCAGUCCAUAUGUUAGCUCAAGUACCUGUGCCAUAUAAAUAUGUGUGUGUGCUUGUGAUUUAAAUAAUCUGUUUUCUGUUCAGUAAUUCAUACGCUUGCUAGAUAUAUAUGGUCAUGUCUUUUGACUUCCCUUGUCACUAAUAUUAGCCUUUCAGUUUCUAUAAUAAUAUGAAAAUACCAAAAAGACAGAGUAAAGAUAAUCUUCAUCUCCCUUUGCUUCUGUCAUUUUCUUUGUUGAUGAUCCUUGUCAGUGUUAGGUUUAUUUUCUGUUUUCAUCAUUCAUUUGGGUCACCUAGCUUUAGUCGAACGUAGUUGCCGCCGCCUAGUCCCUGUGGAGAACACGACAUCCGUAGUUUGGGGCGUAAAAACCCCGCUAUAUUACAAUUGAUCAUUUUGGCGCCGUUGCCGGGGACUAGUGUCGAGCGCUUGUGUUAGGCUAUAGACUAGAUUUACUUUAGUUCCUUGUUCAAUUCGUCGUGUAUUUCAUCUUCAGUGUUUUUCUUCUACUUUCCCCCAUUGUUGCUUCGGCUUAUUAGGAUACUAACCUUCUGACUAGUGCUUACUGUUCAUGAGUGUGUGUAGGGAAUCAUAAAUCUUUGCUAGUUGUUCUCUAGUUACACUUGGUUAAGAUAUGGCAUUGCUUCGUGAUCUUUGGAUGCCAAGUAGUCAAUGUUAUAUCACAGGACCGGUUUGGCCAACUAUUGAGGCAGAGAAUUUUGAGAUGAAGCCUGGUCUUAUUGCUUUGGUUCAACAACAACAGUUUGGAGGACUGCCCACUGAGGAUCACUAUGAGCACUUAUACCGAGUCAUGGAGUAUUCAGGUACAGUCAAGUACCAUGGAGUUCCUCAAGAUUCUAUCAAGUGCAUGUUGUUCUGAUUCUCUCUCCGGGAUGAUUCUCGUGCUUGGUAUCGACCCUUGCCAUCAAGAUCAUUCAGUUGGAACGAGAUAUCACAAGCUUUCUCCACUACACAAGCAGUCCGCAAUUUGAGAUGAGAUCCUCAGCUUCGUUCAACAUGAAGGCGAGAGCUUGUAUGAUGCUUGGGAGAGAUACAAGGCUUUAUUCAGGAGAUGUCCUAACCACGGGCUCGAGAGAUGGUUAGAGCUGCAAAUAUUCUAUAGAGGAUUGACUUGGGACACUCGAGCUUACGUCGAUAUGGCAGCGGGCGGAGCUAUUACAAACAAGACACUUGAUGAUGCUUUUCUGCUGAUUGAGAGCAUAGCUUUCCACCAACUUCAGUGGUACAAUGAUAAGCCCACCUCUAAUUCAUUGGUUUGCUUGCAACAAAUCACUACACCUCAGCCGCCAAUUCUUACACAAAAUCCUGAACCUCUAUCUCAGUGUGACAAGAUUGAGCUUGCAUGGAUUAUCUUUGACGAUGAUGACACCAUUCUAGUUGACACACGCGCUACAGAUCACAUGGAUACUAGUGUUGGAGAUUCAGUUUUGCAUUGUGAUGAUUCUUCCAUGGAUGAGCCGGAGCUGCAGUUAGUUGCUUUUGAUAUUGAGGAGUCACCUUUAGUUCAUAUUGAGCAUGUGCUGGUAGAGCCAGAUAUGGAGAAGUUCUCCUUCGAUGAUGUCAGCUGCAUUAAUUCCUCAACACUUGAGCCUGAGAUGGAGAGCUUCAUGGUUGACUAUGAUGAGGUGGAUUCAGAUGUCAAGGAGCCAAGCUCUACUAUUUCACUUGUUGACAUGAGUCCAGUGGAAAUUUCUACAAGCACACCUCACUUGGUAUCUUCAAUUGAGGUAGUCCUGAAGGUUCUUCCUAACUAUCUCAGGUAUGAUCUCAGCUUUCUUGACAAGAUAUGCCAUAUCAUGGAUACUGCCUAUGCACCAUGCGGUCUAUUGAUGAUAUCUAUUUGUCAUAUGCUUAGAUAUGCUUAUGUGAUAGGAUACUCUAUUGAUGACUUAGAGGGCAUUGUCCCUAUCAUUUGUAUUGGCUUGUUUGUUGAGUGUUCUUUCAGGUUUACGCUUUUGUACCAUUCAUUGUGGGUUGACCAAGUUCGAGAUGACAUCCCAUGGGAUCCUGGUGGACUCAAAGCAUGGCGAUGAGGAGAAGCAAGGGGGCACACACGAGGAAGGGAGAAGCUGGAGCAGGCAUGAGGAUAGAGAAGCAAAAGGAGAGGAGCUGCAGUUGGUGAGGUGAUCGAGGGAGUGCUACUUCAUUAAGCCCGGUGAGCUAUUUCAUGACCCAUUCUGAAUAUCAUAAAUACAUGCUGAAUUCAAUUGCUAGUUGGGUUGCUUGAGCCAGUUAUUACUUGUUGUCAAGCUGAAUUUCACCUUUGGCAUUUUGCUUGAUGUGAAUUUGUGAACUUGAUUUUUGAAUGCCUUGUAAACUAGUGAUCUACACCAUGCAUGCUUUGCUGAAAUUAGUGAAAGUUAUUAGUUUUGAGUGCUCAAAUCCCUAGUACACUAGAAAACUUAAUCAUUUUCUACUUUUACCUCGAUACACCUAGAUCACCACGUUUAGAUGCUGAAUUUGUGCCAAGUGUCUUCCCAUUGAGAGCAAUCACCUAACCACUAUGGAUUAGCAUGCUAUGUUCCCUGGAUCGGUAGCAUGUGAACCAGGCAUGGAGAAGUGAUGAUUCCUGUUUUUGUUCUUAUGCGUUGUUCAUUUAAGUUAAGUAAUAAUGAAUAAAUAAGUCUGGCUACCUACAGUAGCAUGUCAUGUUCCCGGGAUCGGUGGUAUGUGAAAUCAGGUUAGCUUGGGCAGUAAUUAAUUAUAAUAAAAAUGUAAUUCUCGAACCAGGUGUAUACCAUGUUCUCGGGAUCGGUGGUAUGUUCCUUUGGGGAGACAAACAAAAAAUAUUAACAAAAAUUGGUUGAGCCAGGUGUAUACCAUGUUCUCGGGAUCGGUGGUAUGUUCCUUCGGUGAGACUAAUGAAAUAAUAUGUGUGUUUCUUUCAAAUUCAAUAAGUGGUUCAACCACAAAGUCAUAUUUCUGCAAAUAAGAGAUUUAAUUCCAGUUCUUUUUGUUCUCGGGAUCAUGCUCUCUUUAGGAACCAUUUGGCGCAGUCAUCAUUUAAACUUGUUGAUCCUCUUUUAUCAUUGUAAAAGUUUAAAAUGGUCAUGCUUACUAGUAUCUUACCGCUUUGAAGCACUCCUAACCAUUAAUUUUUACUAGCUAAGUCCAAAGCAUGCACUGUUUAGGCAUCUACUUCACUUGGUAUUCUCUAGUCAGCUCACUGUUCACAUUCUUGCUCUUGUCAUAUGCCUUUGCUUGAGGACAAGCAAAAGUUUAAGUGUGGGGGAACUUGAUAAGCACAUUUCAUAUAUACAAUUUUGGCAUAGAAAUAUAUUAUUUAUUGAGAUAUGACCAUCAAUUCUUGCUGUGAAAUAUUGAAUAUUUGCAUGAAAAUCAUAUAAAGUAUCAUUUACUAGUCAUUGUGUUUCUUUUGCAGAAAAGUGCGCAAAGGCACUAUAAACUUCAAGAUCUGGACUAGUGGCUAAGAGAACCAGUCAAGUGAAAAGGAAGAAGAAAGACAGAGGGACUUGUGUGUGAAGAAAUGAUGCUCCAUGGGACAAGUUAAAGAAGAAAGGGACCUUCUUAUGAAGAAAGAAGAAAAGCAGAAGGGCCAAAAUUGCAAAGUGGCAGAUCAGAGGAGGGGUCAAAAUCCCUAGCGGUAGCUAAUCCCCAUCGGGCCUGGCUACAUCUCAUCUCUCUCCCUCUCACCUUCUUCUCCAUCACCGGCCGCCGCCAUGGCCAGGCCGGCGUGGUGGUGAGCCAUUCACCCAUCACCACCAUCUCCUUAUCCUCCCCGAAGCCAUCCACCUCCACCGUCCGCGCCCAGCGCCAACCAGCACCGCCUCCAUCCAUCACCCAGCGCCACCACUACUCCUCCUACCUCCAGUGCCUACAUCCACCACACCAGCCGCUCCCUCACGCGCCGCAUCAGACACUCCGGCGCGAGUGUCUGGUCACCCGCAUGAGUGCGCCACCCAACUCCUUCGCCUCGGAUCCAUCUCGCAGACCACCAGUGUGCCACCACCAUCGCCAACUCCCUCUUCCUUCUUCUGCUCUCUGCCUGCUGCUGCUUCUUCUUCCCACGCCCCUGCUGCUGCUUGCUCUCUCAAUCUCUGCUACUACUUCUCCAUCUCUUGCUGCUACUUCUUCUUCUCUGAACCUCAUUUCUUCUCCUUGCAUCCCCUUGUUGCUGCUCCAUUCCCAAACUGCUGCUACCUAUUCUUCUUCUUCUCUGAACCUCUGUCCUUCCCCUUGUUGCUGCUCCUCACUUGCGCCAGCUGCUCCUGUUCCCUACGCCUCUGCUACUGGUUCUUGCUUCUCUUCUGAACCCGAAGCUCUCUCUCUCUCUCUCUUAUCUCAAACUGUUGUAAACUUUAGAAGUGUAAUGUUCAGAAUUUUGUAAUUUUCAGGGUUGUGUAAUGUUCAGACUUGACAAGUUCUAGCAACUCGUUAUUUGUUCAGUUUAGUACCUGUAUAAUAAAGUACUUGUUAUGUUGGACCUGACUAGUUGAGGCCUUGUUAAUUUGGGUGAUAAUUGAUCUAUUAGAAUGUGCUUCUGUGUAUUACUAUUCUGCUAGUAUAUGUGCGUGUUCACCUUGUGUACUAAUCCCCUUUACUAGUUAUCUUCCAGUACUUGUCAACUUUGUGUGUGUUUGAUUUUCAGUCCAUAUGUUAGCUCAAGUACCUGUGCCAUAUAAAUAUGUGUGUGUGAUUGUGAUUUAAACAAUCUGUUUUCUGUUCAGUAAUUCAUACGCUUGCUACAUAUAUAUGGUCAUGUCUUUUGACUUCCC